GUUUCGGAGGCCUCUGAAGUCUGAUGCCCCUGAGGAGGCGGCAUAUCAACGGGUCUUUCCCGACGGGGAUCCCCUGGGCCGGAACGUGGGCCGCUGAAAUUGCGGAGCGCACGACGUUGAGGGAUCGAUAAGAUCGGCCCUUGGAGAAGAGGUGAGAGAGAAAAUUCAUGAUGGCUGUUAUAGGUGCAGUAAAGGGAUCGAAAUUCCGCUCACUGCACCAAGUAGACCAGGAGCUCCAUGCCGAUAAGUAACAUCGUCUGGUUCCUGGUG